rnacentral:tRNA from 1 species
GGGGUUGUAGCUCAGUUGGUAGAGUGCGUCGUUCGCAAUGACGAGGUCAGGGGUUCGAAUCCCCUCAGCUCCAC